rnacentral:rRNA from 1 species
UACGGAGGGUGCGAGCGUUAAUCGGAAUUACUGGGCGUAAAGCGCGCGUAGGCGGUUUGUUAAGUCAGCUGUGAAAGCCCCGGGCUCAACCUGGGAACUGCAUCCAAAACUGGCCAACUAGAGUACAGUAGAGGGUGGUGGAAUUUCCUGUGUAGCGGUGAAAUGCGUAGAUAUAGGAAGGAACACCAGUGGCGAAGGCGACCACCUGGACUGAUACUGACACUGAGGUGCGAAAGCGUGGGGAGCAAACAGG